GCAGCUAUGGUGGCGACCCACAGCCCUGGUAAUCGCUCGCUCCAUGCCCGCAGGGAUGUUUGUGGGAGUGGAGUCGGCCCAGGGAGCGAACCCCUGCAGGAUUCCCGAGGAGACCUUUGAGUCGGGCGGGCUCGACGUGCAGGGCACGGGGGGCUCUCUGGAUGAGGAGGAGGAAGAGGAGGAGCGAUUCCACACUGUGCUGGAGCAGCUGGGGGUGGCCCCGGUCCUGGGCGAGUGAGUCGGCGCUGGCCCCGCUCCCACUGCCCCCUCUGCUCUUUCUCUGCCUGCAUGCUGUCUGCCCUUGUCACCCGAGUGCUGGUUCUGCACAGGGUCUCUAGGCCGGGUCAGGCCCAGCCUAGCGUCAGCUGCGAUUCCCUGGGAGGGACCCGGCAUGAUUUCCCGCAGAAUUUGCAUUUCAUGAGGCAGCAGCCAGGGCUGUAGGAAGGAGGGGCAGCGCAGGGCGCGGGGCCACAUACCGGCACUGCCCAGGGUACACACACCUCAUCGACCACGCACGCCGGGCAGGGGCGAAAGCGCUCACGGGAGGGAUGCCCCGCACGCAGCAAGUGCUCCUGUCCUGGCCAGGGGCGAAGGAGUCUCCUAAGGGUUUGCUGUUGGCGGAGGGAAGCCUGCUUCCCGCUUCUGCCAGCUCCAGCCUCAGUUCCCGCCCGCCCUCCAGGCAGCGGGCUGUGAGGACGCUCUGGGCCAGGCUGCAGCGCGAGCGCCCAGAGCUGCUGAGCUCUUUCGAGGAUGUUCUGAUACGCGCGUCGGCCUGCCUGGAGGAGGCGGCCCGGGAGCGCGACGGCCUGGAGCAGGCGCUGCGGAGGUGAGGGCCGGGGUGGGGUCUGGGGGCCAGUGGAGGGCCUCAGGGCAGCAGCAGAGGCGGUGCUAGGGGGCUGUAGCGCUGGCAAGUUCUCAUCCGGGGUCGCCCGGUCCCCCGAAGGCGCGAGAGCGAGCACGAGAGGGAGGUGCGCGCUCUGUACGAGGAGACGGAGCAGCUUCGGGAGCUGAGCCGGCGCCCGCCGAGUCAGGUGGGCCUCGGGCCCCGCCCCUCCCGCCAGGUCCAAUCCCACCUCGCUGGCCUCCCUGGCUCCGCCUUCUCUGAAUUAGUCCCUCCCCGACGGCCCCACCUCCGCGGGUCCAGGCUGCCCUCAGCCCCAGUAGACCCCACUGGGUCUAUCACCCCCGCCCGGUCUUCUCCACCCGACCCCGCUCCGCCCUGGCCCACUGGCAGCCCCUGGCCCUCCAUGUACCUCUUUUGCCUGGCCGAGCGGCCGACGGAGGCUCAGUGGUCCUCCGUGCGUCCCAGAACUUCGCCCGCGGGGAGCAGAGAAGCCGCCUGGAGCUGGAGCUGCAGAGCCGCGAGCAGGACCUGGAACGCGCGGGCCUGCGGCAGCGGGAGGUGAGCGCCCGGCCCCUGCCCUGUCCCCACGGUCACCCGUGCACUCUCCUCCUGUGCCUUAGCGUCCCCGGGUUGUCGGGAGCCUGGGGCACGCGCAGCAGCCCAGGGAAGAGGGGGCAUUCCUCGCAGGUCUCCAUCCUUCCACCCUCCAGUUAGAACAGCAGCUGCACGCCCGGGCUGCGGAGCACCUGGAGGCGCAGGCCCAGAACUCCCAGCUGUGGCGGGCGCACGAGGCGCUGCGAACGCAGCUGGAGGGGGCGCAGGAGCAGAUCCGCAGGCUGGAGAGCGAAGCGCGAGGCCGCCAGGAGCAAACCCAACGGUGCCCGGGGACGGGGCUGGGCGGCUCCCGGUGCGUGUCCCGAGGGCGGGGCCGACGGGCGCUCAGGUCUGGGCCACUUUCAUCCCCAUCUCAAGUCCCAGGCCCGCCCCGUGGGAGGGAGGGUCUUCUAGGGGGUCCUGGGGCUCCCCAAGGAGCCUUCCUGCAGCCGGGUCACCACCUCCCACCCACAGAGACGUGGUUGCCGUCUCCAGGAACAUGCAGAAAGAGAAAGUCAGCCUGCUACGGCAACUGGAGCUGCUCAGGGAGCUGAAUACACGGCUGCGGGAUGACAGGGACGCCUGCGAGGCCAGGCGGGAGGGCAGCAGCUGCAGGAAGGCUCUGACAACAGCCCGCCUGCCUGGGCCCACCUGCUGCUGCUGCUGUUGCUGGGCUCGGCCCCCCAGACGCUGCUCUGGCCACCUUCCCAGUGCCCGGUGACCAGCCCCGAGUGACUCACGGACCAUGAGCUAGAAGCUGCCCUUGCAGGAGGCUUGUCAUGGGUGGGGGGUGCCCACUCAGGAUGCAGGCUCUCCCCAGGGGGCCCCAGGCUAGCCUGACUGAAGACAUGAAGGACCUAGCCUAGGAGUGGCCAGGGUCCCGGGAGUGGCCAGGGUCCCGUGUGCCCUCUGCCAGUCUUCGCUCUGUCCCCAUUCAAUCAACCCCAUCUCAGUUCAGCAGAAAAACCCCCUCCUCAAAUAAAACCCACUGACCGC
rnacentral:sRNA from 1 species